rnacentral:ncRNA from 2 species
GUUACCACAGGGAUAACUGGC